CCUACCUGCGUUCACAGAUGAGGUCAGUGAUGCGGUGGUCUAUGGGAGCAGUGCUGAGGCAGCAGCAGACAGAUUUCUUUCCGGGCAGGUUUUGGGCACCCAUGAGUAAUGUUGCUUGAUUCACCUGGAAGAAGGGCUGGAGAAAUGGUACUCAGAGUGACCUUGGUCUUCAUACUGAGACAUCCACAGAUGUGCAGUGGUGGAGCUGAGUCCUUCCCACUCAAGAAGGUUCAAGGGUGAUUCCACUCUGCUCAGCACUCAUUAGGCCUCAUUCAGGCAUUAUGCCCCCUCUGGGUUCCUGGAGACAGGUGGCAAACUUAAGAGGCUCAGGGGAGGCAAGGAAGGUCAGUGUGAAUGGGACUGGCUCAGAAUGGAGUAGAGAAGGCCUUGAUGCACCUCACAACCUGGUGCCUAUGGUGUGCAUUUUCAGGUCAUGCAAAAGAAGCUGCAUGCCAGCCACAGAUGCAGAGUGUUUUCAGACUUCUUCCCAGCAUCGCUGCUCAUCCAACUGAUACGCACUUGAGGGAAGAGAUACCUUCACAUGCUUGAGAAGUGGGCCAGUGUGAACCUCCUGAAGUUCACCAAGGACAAGUGAAAGGUCACACACCUAGAUUGGAGCAAUCAUCAUUUUCACUACAGGCUGGGUGGUGAAUGGAUUGAGAGCAGCCCUGCAGAGCUGAGACCUAGCUAUACUGCUGGAUGAAAAAUGAGAUAUGAGCCAGCAAUGUGUGUGUGCAGCCCAGGAGGCAAAUUUUACCCUGAGUUUCAUAAAAAGAAGAGUGCUGUUCAGUGGGAUGAGGAUUUCCCCCACUGCAGCCCUUUGCACUGUUGUCUUACCUGUCCAGCCUACUCAAAAUAGCUUGUUCAUUUCCUCUCAACCUUAUCACCAAAAAAGUCCAAGCUUUAACCAUCUGAAUUUCCAGUCUCAAAUUCACAGUAUAUACCUCCUCUAACAAGUCAUGCUCCUUAAUUAUUAUUCCCUCCCCUUCCCACUCCUACCUGUCUAUGCUUUAUGUUAUAUUUUUGCUUU